GAGCAAGCUGGUGGCGAUGUUGACGAGGAAAAACUCCCUAAGAUGUUAUAAGGAACACAUACACUAGCUAACACUAGCUAACUCUUGCUACAUGGUGAAACUAGCUUAACUCCACAGAUGAUGCUAAUUAAAGGAACGUGUUAGACUAAGCAGUUUGGUCUUACUUAUGUAACUGUAAAUCUUGUUUCCAACUGAAAAACAGGAUGCUGACGAUGAAUAACUUGUGUGAAAUCAAUAGAAAGAUGGAAAAUUGGAGGAAACGAGGAAACCGGUCGCACAUUGAGCUCCAAGCUGAGAGAUUAGUGACUGACAGCUUGAGACGUCCGAUGAAGACAUAGAGGGAGUUAACCGUGGUCCACCGACAGGACUGGAGGAGGAAUUACACAUUUACGAACAUGGCGGGCACUCGUAAAUCAGCACACACACCCAACUCUGCCCAGUGGUGGCUGUCAGGCGCUGAUUUACUGCGAUUCACCGCUAAAACAUCCAUACAUGAGGGUACGGAGCGAGCGCCAAAGAAUUUAUGAAAGGAAAUAGCUCUACAUUUACUCGUGUGUUUUAUGGUAUUUUCCAGGGAAAGUGUCACGUUCCAUUCGCUCGCUGGGAAUCGAGCUGGUAGGAAACCGAUGACAACAUCUGGAUGUGAUUUUCGGGGUGAAAUAUGAAAUGCAAAGCGUUGCAGAAGCACACAGGAUGAUGGAUUGUGAUUACGGGUUUGAGUGGCAACAAUAUUUGUGGUUACUUUUGGUCAGAGCGGUUUCUGAUGAGUAUGAAAUAAAGAUCGCUACAUGUCAGGAUAGCAUGAUAAAAUGUUAUAUUAAAACAUAUAAUCAGGGAUUAAACAGGGAACAAAUAUUCACUUUCAAUUUCAUGUUUUCAAAGAUAACGAUAUUAAAUCCAGUCUAAUUAGUAAUACAUACAUUGAGCAUACUAAUAACUAACAGUUAUCAUUAAGAGCUUAGUUAGUCAAUAACUAUUUACUAAUUACUGACUAUUACAAAUCCAAUGAACUAAUAAGGAGGUUUGUUUAUAUAAAGCGAAGUAAUGAUCGG
ensembl:lncRNA